GGAGAGGAUGGAAGCUGUGAGGUGGCUGCGAGGUUGAGGGUGGCUGUGAGGUGGCUGUGAGAUAUAGAGGGGAGGUGUGAGGUGAGGAUGGAAGCUGUGAGGUGGCUGUGAGGUGGCUGUGAGAUAGAGGGAGGUGUGAGGUGAGGAUGGAAGCUGUGAGGUGGCUGUGAGAUAGAGGGAGGUGUGAGGUGAGGAUGGAAGCUGUGAGGUGGCUGUGAGGUGGCAGUGAGAUAGAGGGGAGGUGUGAGGUGGCUGUGUACUGAGAUCGGAAGCUAUGAAGUGGAUGACAUCUGGUAGCUCCUGCAUGAGCAUAGCAUCCCUGCUGUUUAUGAAAUUACUUUGCUUUGUUGAUAUUUCUGUAUUACCCCUGCACGAUACAUUGACAUUUAAAUAAAUAUAAUAUAUAAAUACA